AUUGAACGCUGGCGGCAUGCUUUACACAUGCAAGUCGAACGGUAACAGGCCUUCGGGUGCUGACGCGUGGCGGACGGGCGGGUAAUGCAUCCGAACGUGCCCAGCGGUGGGGGAUAACGUAGCGACAGCUAAGCUAAUACCGCACGUGAUCUGAGGAUGAAAGCGGGGGACCAAGUAGCAAUGUUUGGCCUCGCGCGUCUGGAGCGGCCGAUGUCAGACUAGGUAGUUGGUGGGGUAAAGGCCUACCAUGCCGACGAUCUGUAGCUGGUCUGAGAGGACGGCCGGCCACACUGGGACUGAGACACGGCCCAGACUCCUACGGGAGGCAGCAGUGGGGAAUGUUGGACAAUGGGCGCAAGCCUGAUCCAGCAAUGCCGCGUGCGGGAAGAAGGCCUUCGGGUUGUAAACCGCUUUUGUACGGAACGAAAAGGCUCUGGCUAAUACCUGGGGCUGAUGACGGUACCGUAAGAAUAAGCACCGGCUAACUACGUG
rnacentral:rRNA from 1 species